rnacentral:sRNA from 1 species
GCCAGGUAUGGUGAUGCACACCUGUAAUCCCAGUGACAUGGGAGGCUGAGGCAGGAGGAUUGUAAGUGUGAGGCCAGCCUGAGCAACUUAGUGAGAAACUGUCUGAAGAUUAAAAAAAAAAAAAAAAGCCUCCAGUGUUGCUCAUUGGUUGGUUAAGCAUCACUGGGUUCAAUACCCAGUGUCCC